GCGCAUACGAAGGAGCUUCUGAUCGGUGUCAGAUAGAAGGCAAAAGUCAGAAGAAGAAAAAACAGAAGAAUGGAGGAGCUCCGAUCGAAUCAAGUCGGCCACCGUCCAAUAAGCGAGCUUCACCCCGACGAUGGAAUCCAAGGCUGAGUUACGACAUGUAUGACUCCUAUUCUUUUCUUUCUGCUUUUCGUGCACAGAUCCUUAUGGAGAUCGAAGGAGCAGAAUAUCUACGACACCCCCC
rnacentral:lncRNA from 1 species